AAGCUUUGCUGGUAUAAACUGACCCAUGCUGCUAGGUGUUUUGGUGCCUUUGUGUCCAAAUGGGGGAUAACUCAUUUCAGGGCCUGGGCCCCAGGCAUUACUUCUGUCACUCUCUUAAUUUAGAGAGAACCGUUGAUGGAGAGACCUCCAAGAGGUCUCUGUUUAUUCUUCUUUUCCUAAUGGAGAUCAGGCAUGGAAGAAAGGAGAAAAGACUGAAGUUGAUGUCUAAAAUAGGUGGAUUUUCUUUCCCAUCAGGAGAGUGUCCCAGAAACGAAUGUGAUUGAUUGGCUUUAGAAGGCAUGGACCGAUCUGUAACCUAAAGGAAUCAAUCUUUUUUUCCUCUGUAAACAUUUUGGAUACAUUUGAUACAGCAGAUCUUAAACAUUUGUGCAGUACAAGUAGAGGAUAUACUCUUCCUUGCUUUCCUCACAAAAGGCUUUGAGAGAGUUGGAAAUCCUGAAAUAGAGAUGGCGGAAGGAGCUCAGAGUGGAGUUUUUAGAGCAGAACUUCCUCAACAUUUAUAUCUGUAAAACUGACAAGUUAUUGACACUAGGAGGCAGCAGAGAUCUAGAGUUGGUGAAUCCGAUCAGAUUUUUUUCAGCCUGAAAUGAGGUUGAGGAUGAAGGUUAAUCCAGACUAGUCUAUACCUGUUUCUCUAGUUGUGAAAUGAAAGAGCUGCUUGCUUGUAAUCACCUUAGAUUCGUCGAUCCAGUGAUUGAACAAACACGUACCAUCAGAAAAUCAAAGCCCUUUGAAAUCCCGUGUCUUGCCUUCUUAAGAAUGAACAUUUCCCACACCUCAUUGCUAAAAAUCUGAGCUUUUAACAUUAAUUUUAAAUUGCAUUUUAAGUGAGACACUAAUUAAAAUACAGUUAUUAAUAAGGAAGGUGGAUGUGGCCACAUCAAAUCUACAAGCUUUGAUCAAUAAGGUGGUUCAGAGAAUUCUACCAAUAUUGAUUCUAGGAGUGAAUGAAAAAGGCAGAAGCUGAACUAAGGAGACAAUUUUAAAAAAAUGUUAAGCUGAAGUCAGGUAGAUGUCUUUUAAGGUACUUUCACCGUUUUCACCCCUUGACCUUCACACAGGGAAACAGCCCAUUUUACAAUUGGUAAGACUGAGGCUCAGAGACAUUACUUACGCUCAAGGUGACAGAAAGAAUGACAAAGCAGGGAUUAGAACCCGGAUUUCCUGUAGGUUUGCCUGAAUUCACUCUGUCAUGUUGCUUUACCAGGAAUGGCAGCAAAUCCCUGAUGGAUGGCUCAUUGGAAAACAUGUUCGUACAAGGUCAGUUGAGAUUACUAAGUCAUGUGAUGGAUAAUUGCAUCAAAUCAAGAUUUUUUAAAAAAAUCAAUGAAUUAUGGUCAUGGAUUCGGACUAAGAAGAUAAGUUUUAUGAAGGAUGAAUGCAAAGUCUGUAGUUAGAAGCAACUAACUGUAGAAGUUCAGGAUGAGGGAGUUCCUAUGGGAAAGACUUACAGAUUUUAGCUGUGUGCUCAGUAGGGGCCAACAGUAUACAUUUAUAGCCAAAAAGUCAACGAAAGCUUAGACUUCAUUGUUUGGAUAGAGAGAAGUAAUAGCCUUAUUUAUGCCUCUUUAUCAGCCUGUGACCAUUCUGUUCAGUUCUGGGGCAUUUUUAUAGGAACAGUGUUUAAAAAAUAAGAAAGGUGGUGAAGAGCUUGGAAACUAUCUAAAAAUGAAGAAUUAUUAUAAACAUUGGAAAGUCUUGUCCUGGCCAAGAGAAGAAAUAGAGAAGACACAAAACACUGACUUAUAAUGGCUGAAAGUAAGUUAGAUUUAUUCUGUGGUUCCAGAGUCAAAAGUAGGAUCCAGGAAACAGGUUACAAGGAAAUAAAUUUCAGCUCAGUAUCAGUGGUAGCAAAAACAAUUUUUAAAUGAGUGAUUGUGGUGACAUUACUAAUAUUCCAUACUCAUCUUAGAGUAUUUCUAUGUAGGGAAAUAACCUUGACGAGUCUCUUUGGGAUGAAAGGUGAGCUGGCUCUGGUGUGGUCAGAAAGAAGAUAUAGAAAAUAGAGCUCAGUUUUUCUCUGUAAUGAGAUGAGAGGAAUUUUUAUGUUCCCAGGGGAGCUAUGGGAAGAAGGGAGAAAGAGGGUGAGGAGAGCAACCUGGCAGAAGGCCUGCCCUCCCCCCUCGCUGUGGGACACCAGAGUGAGAAACUUGCUGAACAAUUGCUCAGGGCAGUGAACUUUAACAUUCAGUUUGACAUUAUGUUGUGACCUAUCUAAUAAAAGAGUAAUAUGCAAACUGACCAUCACUCCAACACACAAGAUGGCCACCUCCAUGUGGUCAAAGAUGGCUGCCACAAGAUAGCCGGCAGGGGAGGGCAGUUGUGGGCGAUCAGGCCUGCAGGGAAGGACAGUUGGGAGUAACCAGGCCGGCAGGGUAGGGCAGUAGGGGCAACUGGGCUGGCAAGGGAGGGAAGUUAGGCUGGUGGGAUCGGGCCUAAAUGGGCAGUCGGACCCUUGAGGGGUCCCAGAUUGGAGAGGGUGCAGGCUGGGCUGAGGGACACACACACACACACACACACACACACACACACACACACACACACCCUGUGCACGAAUUUCAUGCCCCGGGCCUCUAGUUGGGGGGAAUAAAAAAGAGGACUAAGGUUCAGGAUGGAGGGAAGUGACCAGUGAGAUAAGACAAUGAAUGAGGGCACUGAGGUGUGAGCAAGCGAAUCUCUAACCUGGACUGCCUAGAUUUAUGUCGGUAUCUGGGAAAUCCAUGAGAAUGUCGGGGAGGCAGCCCAGACCUGCUUUAUGUAGAUAUCAAAGAUAAAGGUGACUUCAGAGGACAGAGGGAUUAGGGAUAUCUGCAUCACACAAGGGAGACUUAAAAUUAAAAUUGUCCAACAGCCCUGGCCAGGUAGCUCAAUUGGUUAGUGUCAUCCUGAUACACUAAGGUUGUGGGUUUGAUCCUAGUCAGAGCACAUAAAAGAAUUAACCAAUGAAUGCAUAUAUGGAUGAACAACAAAUUGAUGUCCCCCCCCCUUUCCUCUCUAAAAUCAAUCAAUCAAAUAAUCGAUUUUUAAAAAAGAGUUGUCCAGCAAAAGGUAGUGCUCUCUGGUCACUAGGAGAGCUCUCUGGGUAGCAUCUGUUAAAGGUGUUGCAGGGGGAAUUCUUGCAUUGUUUAGGAGGCUGCACCAGAUGAGCUCUAAGGAUCUGGAUAAAUGAAACUCACUGCCUUUCCCUCUACCUGCGUUAUUAUGUCCUUUCAUUCAAGGAUCAACUUGGGUUGGCAAGAAGUCAAUGUGCCUUAAUACAUUAAUACUUACAUAACGUUACUUUUUAGAGGUCUGACUCUACUUUUCCAUCCAUCCAUUUAACAAGUGCCUGUUUUGCUUCAGUCAUUGUGCUACCCUUUGUUGGAACACGCUCGUUAAUUAGGCAUGAUUCCUGCUGUUUUAUGAGCUAACGUUUUGGUAUGCACGAUGCUUAUUCUAACAAGGGCUUUCUGAGUUAGGAAUCUGCAGUAGUGGGGGUAGCGUCUGGGAACCUGGAGACCUUUGUUCUCACCCCAGCUUUGCCAUGUGACCCUAGUAGGCACAGAACCUCUGUAAAUCUCGAAUUACCCAUCUAUAAAGUAAAGGUGCACAGCUCUUCUGGUUGUCACAGCUCCAAAGCCUAUAACAUUUAGGCACAUGACCUAGGACACGAAGCAAGCAGAUGUCUUGACACCUUAAGUGGAGUCCUCUAGAAAUUCAUUCUAAAAAUACCAGGUCAGUACUUCUCCUAAUUGUUAAGGUCAUCAAAAGCAAGGAACGUCUGAAACACUGUCACAGCUAAGCUGAGUAACAGGCAUCCUGAAUGGGGUCCUGGGACAGUAGAGGGACAGUAGGAACAAUGAAGGAGACCUGAAUAAAGUAUGGACUUUAGUUAAUAACAUUGUGUCAAUAUUGGUUCGUUAAUUGUGUGGACGAAAGGGGCCACAUGCUAACCUGACAAGCUCAGGGAAGGCCUGCAUGGCAGUCUUGCAAACUCAGAGACCUAAAGUAACCACAAAGGAUGGUCUGAAAUUAAACUUUAACUAAAAGCAGUUAUGGUGGGUAGUUACAUCCUAGGCUGGUAUCUUCACUGACAAGGUCAACGUUUACCUUAACUGAGCCUAUCUGUCUUUUUGCAUCUAUAAUAACAUACCCUUGAAAUGUCUGGGUAACUUGUAACUUCCCUUUUUCUGGAGCCCCUGGGGCACAACCUAAUGUGCUGGGUGCCAGGACAGAUACCACAAAUUCCUUCAUUAUUAUCGUGUUAAUUGUUCCUGCACCCACCUAAGGGUGUGUCUGUCAUUUUACUUUAUAUCCAAUCCCAGGGGUUUUCCCGCUUUGCUUUCUCCCACCUCUCUAGUCUAUCACCAGUGGAUUUCAUGUAACCCACCUACAUCCCUUUCUUUUGAUUGCAAGGUAUAAAUACAGAUGUAACCCACCAUUCUCCAGAGCAUUAUCUCAAUUGGAGGUUCUGCUUCCCAGCAUAUGUCGACAGUUUGGCUCAAAUAAACUCACAGAAAUUAUUUACAGGUUUCAGUGGUUUUUUACAUUAACAAUUGUGACGAAUAUAGUAUAAGAUGUUAAUACAAAGGGAAACUGGGUGUGGAGCAUAAGGGAACUGUCUGUACUCUCUAAUUUUUCUGUAAGUCUAAAACUCUUCUGAAAUAAAAAGGUUAUUCACAUGUA